rnacentral:rRNA from 1 species
AUUGAACGCUGGCGGCAGGCCUAACACAUGCAAGUCGGGCGAGUGGCGGACGGGUGAGUAAUGUCUGGGAAUCUAGCUUAUGGAGGGGGAUAACUACGGGAAACUGUAGCUAAUACCGCGUACCAUAGGAUGAGCCCAGGUGGGAUUAGGUAGUUGGUGGGGUAAAGGCUCACCAAGCCGACGAUCCCUAGCUGGUCUGAGAGGAUGACCAGCCCAACUGGGACUGAGAAACGGCCCAGACUCCCACGGGAGGCAGUAGUGGGGAAUAUUGCGCAAGUGGGGCAACCUGACGGAGCCAUGCCGCGGGAAUGAAGGAGGCCUUCGGGUUGGUAAAUUCUUUCGGUAGCGAAGCGUUAACUACAGAAGAAGGACCGGCUAACUCCGUGCCAGCCGCCGCGGUAAUUC